rnacentral:piRNA from 1 species
UAAUAAGCUGAUGGAUGCUUGAUCGUCAA